CCCUCAAUCGGCACCGUAAACACUGAUUCUAUUGAAGAUGUUAAUGUGAGAAAUGAGACUGCUGGCUGCCCAGCAUUAACGGAGGCUGCCCAGCAUUGACAAUUUGGCAAGAAGCCAACCUGUCUAGCAGGAGUUGCAAGAGUGCUGAAACGAAUGCACUCAACAUGAAGGCCACCAUUAUGAUUUCUUUUUGAGUUGUGACACUGACAUUCAAUACUUUCACAGAAAACAUCAAGCAGAGAUCCAAACAAAGUGAGUAACUUGCAAUAACGUGCUCCCAGCUUAGCCUUUAGUUCUGUGCAUGUCAAAACACAAAAGGGUUGUCAAAUCCAUUUUCUGAGUAUUAAAUUCUGGUAUCCAAAACUUUAUGGCGGUUAGUCUUAAUCUUAGUUAUUCACAUUUUGAUCAUAUCUUAUAAUAAUUUUGGCAGCUGAGGCAUUUCUUCUGGGUUUCCAGCACUAAAUUAAAAUGACCAAUGCUGUUUUUUAUAUUCUCAAUUAUUAUAUGAUAAAUUCUUAACAGAAAUUCCCUGUUAUAUUCUCAAUUAUUAUAUGUAAU